rnacentral:lncRNA from 1 species
CAGCGUCACCCUCUUUUGAAGAAAGUGCGCAGCUGUGGCCCUGUACCUCUGACUGGGUUCUAUAAGUGCCGACCCUCCUGAAGCAGGAAAGGGACCCUUCACCUACAAAGAAGCACAAACUGGAAAGAGGCAGAAGAGGAAAGUGGGACCAGAGAGUGUGGGAUCACAGAAGGCAGGAUGCCCAGGCAUGAAAGAGAAUGCAUAUCCAAGGAUACAGCAGUCCAGACCAAUAGCAAACACCCAGUAGC